GAAAGCCGUAUGAGGGAAAACCUCACGUACGGUUGUGUGAGAAGAUGCUGGAAAUAGGGUAUGGUUGAGAUGGUGUGACACUCUCAGAGGAAACGGAGAGAAACGGGGAAGACAAACCUUGACCUGUAGUCACUACGCCUGUGUUUUACUCUAC
rfam:Candidatus Brocadia sinica JPN1 DNA, contig: brosiA.